CAUGUAGGCGGCAUGACAAGUCUGGUGUGAAAUAUCUCGGCUCAACCGAGAAAACGCACUGGAAACUGUCAAGCUUGAGUAUCGGAGGGGAAGCUAGAAUUCCUGGUGUAGGGGUGAAAUCUGUAGAUAUCAGGAAGAAUACCGGUGGCGAAGGCGAGCUUCUGGCCAGAUACUGACGCUGAGAUGCGAAAGCGUGGGGAGCGAACAGGAUUAGAACCCUGGUAGUCC
rnacentral:rRNA from 1 species